CUUCUCCCUCUGCCUGUCUCUGCCUUUCUCAGUGUAUCUCUCAUGAAUAAAUAAAUAAAUAAACUCUUUAAGACAAAAAAAGAAAAGUGGAAUAAAGUACCUUUUCCAGGGGAAUGUAAUAGAUGUCCUCGUGGUCCUGUAAGGCUCAAAUGGAAGGUGAGUCUCAUCAGCUUCCCCUCUUUGAGCCCAACGGCCCCGUUUUAGGCAAACAUUUUCUCUCUGUGGGUAUUUACCAAAUUAUUAGUCCUGCUAGACUUUAAAGCCAGAGGAGGAAGGUGGAGUCCUCUCUGGCAGAGGGAGCUAAAGAACAUGACUGCUGUCUUUAGUAUUAAAUACCAGGACCCCAUCUUCUCCUGCCCAUGGGAUGAUGCUCUGAAGCAAGUGUGCUUCUUUCAGGGGACCCACAGGGUGGCUCCACGACUUCAUGCUCUUUUACUUUCCCUCCCUCUUGCACAUUCCCAUCAGUCCCUCCUUGUGAUUGGCAACAGAAGCGUCAGAGUCUCUGGUCACAUCUUCAGCUGAAAAGGAUGAGAAAUGUAGGAAAUCCCUGUGAAGCCGUCCCAGAUGUGACCUGUUUCCUGAACUCUUCUCCACCAGCAAUGACUUUGAUUCCUUCUCCCAUGCCCCCCACCAUCCUGCCCAUGACUUUCAAGAUAACGAUCAUGGUGACACUGAUGUUCUUAAUCAAGCAGUUAGCACAUGCCAGUGCCAGGAACUCCUUCAAGAGCUUUGUAUCUGCCACCUAUAGUCACCACUCCUCGCCCAGCCCUGAGAAGCAGGGCCUGUUCCUAUCACUAUCACCGCGGCGGGGCAAGAAGGAAAUGACUUUCCCAGUCACUGCUCCGAGGGGCAGCAGGGGCAGGACUCGGAAGCCCUGUCACAUGUGGCCAGCCACACCACCACAGUUGGACUGGAAGAUUACCAGCCAUUGCACUGGGAGCCCGGAUGCCAGAGCCAGACUGGCUGGGGCAACACCCGUCUGUACGGGAACUUGGCCUAAUGACUCUGGACGAGCUUAACUCUCUGCCCCUCAGUUUAUUCACCUGUAAAAGAAGAAUCUGUGACAUAAGCUGUGAGGACAGUACCUGGUGCAUAGUAAGCACUAUAUAGAUGUUCAUUGGUAUUAUUGCUAUUUUUAUUAUCAUAUUUAUUAUUUUUUUCAUUAUCAUAUUUAUUACUUGGCCUUUCUGUGUUUCUAUCCCCACGUUGUUCAAAGAUCACCUCAGGGAAGCAUUUCUUAGCUACCUCAUUUAAAAUUUCAAUCCCCACCCACAAAAAUCCCUAUCCCCCUUCUGGCUUUAUUUGUCUAUAUUUGUGUUCAUAUGAUGUACAAUAUAUUUUACUGCAAUAUAUAUAUUACAAUAUAUUUUAUUUUAUAAACUUUUUUGUCUUCUCUCAAAUGUAAGCUCCAUGGAGACAGGAUUGUCUGUCUGCUUUGCUCCCUGCUACAUCUGGGUGUUCAGACCAGCGCCAUGUGCAGAGGGGAUACUCAGUAAACAGUUGGUGGACAGAUUUGAUCAGGGUUGCCCCUACCACCCUCAAAAAUGCACCCCUCUCUGAGCUUUGGCCAAGAGAUACUUCUUCAGCAAGAUGGGCUUUGGGGGAGCCACUUGGUCCUCCAGAAAUGCCUCCUUCCUCAUGGUGUAAGAUCCCAGGGUACCAUCAGGGAUCAUUUUGCUGCAUCCAGCAACCGCUAGGUGACCAUUUUACAACCAGCUAUUCAUCCUGCUGUCCACUUUAUGGAGCUGUUAGAAGAAGAAAAUGCCUCCAGCAGCAAGACUGCUCAACCUUUAGAGCUCUGGGAUCACAGUUAAUUCAAGUGACAACUUCUUGACAUUUUGUCUGGAUGGCAUUAUGUCUGUUUCCAGGAAGCGAGGUGGUGGUGCUAACACGCUAGUGAGAUCUACAGAAUGUGCAUGGAAGGCUCAAAGGGAGACAUCCCCGGUGCAAUGAGGCCUGUCAUUUGUGGGUUAGAAGCACAGCCUGCAGUGACGGGGUGAGGAGCUGCCUGCAAACCACACGGAGCACUGUCUGGAUGCCAAGCACGAUUUUAUCGAUUUCAUCCUACCGAGGCCUUGGAUCGUUAGCAGCUGAUCAAUCGUUCUCUGGGGCCAAAUGACAUCCCGUUAUUUGUUCCUUCUCUGAUUUUUCCUUUCUAAACCACGCCUCAGUUCCCUCAUGUGUAAAAUGGUUAUAAUAAUACCUACUUCGCAGCUCGUUGAGAAGCCCAGUGCUUAGCACAGGGUCUGGGAUGUGGUAUACUUUUAAAGAGUCUGUACCAUUACUAUUACUGUUCUCCAACUUUUCCAUGCUCUCAUUCUCCUUACUCUGUUAGGUUUCUCUGCUUUGGGGUCCCUUGGUACAAAUUAAGCCCGGGAAACUAACGGGUGGAAUUCCAAGGAUAAAGAAUCUGAUUGGCCUGGCCGAGGUCAGAUGUUUACUCCUGGACCACGCAUCUGUGACUGGGACAUGGGGUCAUCAUGUGAGAAGGGUGCGGAGGCUCCUUUCAGGGAGUAGCAGGGGCUGACUUUCUAAACCACAGGCCGGCCAGUGAGGAGUGCUGUGGUCAGGAGCUGCAAUGUUUUUCACACCGCGAGGAUGGAGAAUAGUGCAUGCUGACUACAGAAUAAACAGGGUUCAUUAGCACAAUGUAGAUUUAAUCCUUUGAACAAUUCUAAUUUUAUUUUCCUGUUGAAUGCUUAUCAACAAAUUCUAUGCAAUACAGACAUCAGCCUCUAAAACUACAUUUUUUUUUCCCCAAGUUCUGGACAUUGGGGCUUCGAGAGAACAAAAACACGCGUUUGGCCAAACCCUCCCUAAGGCUCAUGACUGCCAUUUUUAAUUUGUUCUGGGAUUAAAAGACAUUUCAAUAGUUUAUUUAGGUACUUAUCCCAAGAUAACACUCUAUUUGGUUCAUGGUAAGCCGAGGAAAGCAGAAAGAGCAGGGAACUUCCAACAUUGACCUCAGCCUAUGCUUGUGUCCACCACAAUGCUUGUACCCUUAAGUCUAUGCUCAGGUAAUGCUUGAAAGACCUGGUAUCUCAUAGGACUGGAGGGCCAUCGGACCCUUGGUCUGAAGACAGUGUGGAGGUAUAUGUAUAUACGUGUCCCCCUGAGCUACGGAGCAAGUUAGUGGUGAGGCCAAGAUUUAUACCCAGCCUUCCAAACCCAGAAUCCAAGAUCUUAAUCAUGAACCUGUCUUAAGGCUGACUAGCAUCACAUAGAAGAAGUUCAAAAUGCCAUCACUUCCCUUUCCAGCCCAAGUACACAUUAUGGGAGAGUAGAACCAGUGGUGUUCUGGGUUGUAAAGGAUCCCAGUCUUAGAAAAUGACAUUAACAGUUACACGUGCGGCCUUUCAAUUUUUUUUCAACCAUUUAAGAUAUUCCUUUGGUUCCUAAAAUGUGGUAGGAGAUUAGGACCUGGCUAACCUGAAAGAGAACAGUUGGACUAGAAAUUGUAUCUGCAGGGGCUUUUGGGUUGACCUUUUGGGAAAGGGUCAAUUAUGAAGAUAUUACAACAACCUUUCCUGGUGCCUAUAGGGAACAAACAUUCUGAGUUCACAUACCCUGCAUUCCUGGGAGGAAUGUAUUUGAGACUCAUACAUAUUUAUAUCAAGUAACAGAGUAAAUGUCAGCUUCUUUUUUCUCCUGUUAACUUAACAUGCAGAAAAGUAAAUGACCCAUAAAGAAAAAGAAAUAAUUUCCUCUACCAUGAAAGCCUUUAAAUAUGCAAACAUUUUGAUACCUAAUAGAGCAGGUCAUAAAAUGAGUUUGAUGCAUUUUCUUGACAGAGGUUUUAUAAGGGUUUUGGUUGAUGGACAGCAUUCAAUAUUUUAUUCUAUUGCAUCUGGAAACUAGUUUAUUGGGUGAUUCAUAUUGCAUAACAUUGACGUCUCCAUAAAUGCUUGAUCUGUGUUGGGGUAAAGAGUGAACACCAAUAGUGUUCAACCCAUACUAACUGUAAUUGGGGAGGUUAUUAUUUUAAAGGUGCCUGGACAUUUUAGGGGUUGAAGUUUUAUUUCAAAAUUGAGGAUGGGGCACCUGUGUGGGUCAGUCAGUUAAGGGUCCGACUCUUGAUCUCAGCUCAGGUCUUGAUCUCAUGAGUUUGAGCUGAGGAUUGGGCUCAAUACUGGGCAUGGAGCCUACUUCAACAAAACAAAACAAAACAAAACAACACAAAACAACAAAAUGAAAAUUGAGGGCAUAGUGCUUUUCUAUGGGGAUUUAUCUAUUUUUCAGGUUUUCCUUGUUUUAAAAUAAUUUCUAUAUCUUGAUAUAUUUUGGUUGUAUCCCUAUGUUUUGAGCUUGACUUUUUCUUUUGGAUAUUUCCUUCACCCUGCGUAGCCUCUAAUUUCUUUAAGUUGCCUUCUCUUAUUUGCUGGUGUCUAUCUUUUGCCUGGAAGAUUUCCUUCUGUAUGAUUCCAGUUCACUCCUCCCAGGAUGAAGGGACAGUGAUACAGAGUGCACUGUGGAGACUGUUCAUGGCGACCUGGGCUGGAGUGAUCUGGCUGGGCUAUUUCACUGAAGAACCCUCAUGUCAGUACCUUUGUGCCUUUCCCCCUUGGCUUGUCAAAUUCCUCAGAGGUGGAGCCCAUGAGCACCUGCCAGGAAGACCUGGUCUGGUUCCCCUGACUCUGGAACCCAGCAGGGGAGGUGAGCCUGGUCUCAUUAGGAUCCGAAAUGCCCCUGCUGGUGCUGAGUGUGAGUCUUGCCUUCAGGUGUACCUGAGCCUCUUCUGUUUCGAUGUCUGCAGGAGGAAAUCACAGGUCCUGCCCACGUAAUGGGUACGGCACAUUCCAGUUGCAGGGGCUAAACAGUUCCCAACUUCUAGUGCAGAGCUUUGUCAUGGACUCUGCCUUUGCACCUGCUCCUAGAGGCACCUGGUGCUGUGGAUUCCUGAACCUUGUGGGGGCUUCUUUGGAAUAAACUGGGUUGCUGCUCAGCUUUUCCCUGUUGGAGCCUGAUUUAGCUUACCUUUCAAAAUUUUUGUUUCUGUGCCUCCUCUCUCCCUUUGUCCGUGGUGAUUUAUGUCUUAAAGGUAAAAUCGAUUCACAGUGAUUGCAGCAGCCAUUUGGAAGGAAAUGAAAGGAACCCUCUGCGUCAACCUUCCACCUUUUUCACAGACUGUUGGCCGAUUCCGUAAAGAUUCCGUCUGAACGAAGGAACUUGGCAUCAAGAGCAUUUAAUAGCAGGGUAAAUUUCAAACUUCUCAUAUGAAUGAAUUCAGUCCAAAGUCUUUUUCAGCCCCUUACAAGAGUUGUCCAUUUCGAUUAUUUCAUGAUGUCCCAUUCUCAACUUUCAGUGCCUUUCAAUCGGGAAAACCAAAAGACAUAAAUACCAUUUGUUCUUUGUUUAAUGUUUUCAAGUUGAUCAGAGAUGAAUGCAAGCCAGGGUUUCUAAGAAAAAAGAAGAAAAAAGAGCAAGCAUUAAAGCAAAGAUUUUAUAUAUAUAUACAUAUUAUACAUACUUAUACAUAUGAUAUAUAUGUAUGCAUAUAUAAUUUUUCCCUGACUUACUAGAUAGAGUUGCCUUGUGACCAUCACUCUGGAAAAAAUAAAUCUAAUGUCAAUCAGGGAGCACACAGCCUGGCUCCUGCAGUGGAGUGGCACUUGGGCAAAGGAUCCCUUGUAACAUGCAUUUCCCUCUAAAUGAUACUGUCAUUGGAUGGAUUUUUUGUGUCAAAUAAUGAUAAUUCAUCUUGAGGUCUAAGCAUAUCAUACCACAUGUUGAUUAAUUAUUCAGGGAAAGUUAAGAAACAUUUUCAUUUUCCUAAACAGAAUCAACCAAACAGAAGGAGCCUUGGCGGGCAAACCCAUGGAUCCUGUCACCUCCACAAUUCAGAUGAUUCCUUUGCCUUCCUCUUAGUAACUGUUUUAAGUGCAUACUCAGUCCUCACCUCAUGGUAGAUGAUGUGUCUGCAAAAUGGUGGAUUUUUUAUGUGUUUUACAAUAAAUGAGUUAGAAAGUUAUUGGAAAACAGACAUUAGAAGGAAGAUUUCCUCCUCCUUCUUCCUCCCCUUCCCCCUCCUUCUCUCCUCUCUCCCUCCAUCCUCAAUUCCUUCCUCCCUCCUUCUGACCCUCCCUCCCCACUUUGUUCCAGAGUUCAGUCUAUGAGAAAGAGAAGAAGAAAAGAAUAAGAGACAUUGCACUUGACCUAUGGCUAACCCCCACCCGCCCCCCCCACCCCGCCAUGAAUGACAAGCCAGCGUCCUUAAUUUUACAUCCACUAUUUGUGCUUUCUGAAGUCUCCUAUUGUUUUACUCCAUCGACUUUAUCCUUUUUCUAAAGCUAUGACCUCACUUUUAUUUUCCCAAAGUUGUCCUUUAUACUUUCUUAGAAACUCAAUUUUUAUCUUAAUUCUACAGUGAUUGCUAUCUUGUUUCCAGAAAAAAAAGAAAGGAAAAGAAAGAAACACAGGCAAAAAGCAACGACUCUGCUGACGAAAUCCCAUGUGGAGAUUAGUUGCUGCAGCUCUGGAGGACUUGGGGACAGUGUGCAGGCAGCGACCCACACCACGGCUGUGCAUGGUCGGUGCACAAACAUCUGGGUAUUUGCAAGUAUCCUCAUCCUGGGGUGGCACAUUGGGAGCAACCAUCUGGAUGUGUGGCUACAUUUCUCAUUUCUUAGAUGGGUUUUUAAGACUGUUGUACGGGAACUUUCAGCAAUGGGGCAUGAACAGUAAAUUCAACGGUGUUUUUCACACUGCACAGUGCCAGACGAGGACCUUCACGGUGGGAUGUGCAUCAACAUCUAAGUGGUAUAAUUACAUGUAGCUAGCACAAGCGCAUACAAAUUACUGUCAUGUGCUUAAAGUAUUAAUUCAGAGAAUGUAAGCCUUUGAAAUACACCUUAGUUUCUAUAAUCUUAUAUUGACAUUGCACCAUUAAAUAAAAAAUUGGCCUGUUGGGUAAAAUAAUUGUAUGAUUUCGGCCUCCAUCAAACUUUGGUGAGCCUGAUUUCAUAAGAAAGCCACUGCUGAUGGGACGGAAUGUUAGAGGAGGAGGGAGUUCAGUGCCAGGAAAUGGGGUGAAGUUGGUCAUGUUCAGUGCCUGCUCAUGGAAAUGUCUUCUUGCAUCUGGGGCCACACAGCCAUGUAGCAGAGUCCACCGGCAGAAGCCGGGAGUCCCCACAGCCUCAUUUUCUCUGGGGCAGAACCUUCCUCUUCUAUCAGGGAGUGAGGAAAGACAGCCUCCCCCUCUACCAGGUAGACAGGAUGAUGGCAGAGGAAGGUGCCUCCCUGUCAGUAAGGUGAGUGAGCAGCAGCCCAGAGCACAGCCCUCCAGCCGGUGGGCAAGCACAGGGCCACGGCCUCUGCUGACAAUGCUACAGCCCUGAUCUUAGGGACACGGCGUGCUGAGGCCCAGUGGAGACACAGCGGCACAGGGCUGGUGCUGGAGACACGUGCCGGGCACCUGCCCGCCGCCCCAGCUCGCAGCUCACAGUAACCGGUGACCUUGGAAAUCAGGGCUGAUCCCAGCCUCACAUUUAUUCCAGCAAAUGCUACAACUCCUUUCAAGAACUAAUACAUUUUAAUUAGAGGGAGGGCUGAGCCUCUUGUUUUGGUGCCAUUUUUAAAGACAUAAAAUACCGACCACAGUAGCUUCCACAGAUGGCUGAAAAAUGGACUGUGGAGUGGUGAUAGCACUUUUAUGUGUUUUAAAAUUGUAUUAUUUCCCAAAUCUAAAGAAUUAAUUGGCUAGAGCGUCCCAUGGCUUCCUAAUAGGAAACAGUGUUAGAUGUAGUUAUUGAAAAAUGAAAGCAUUUUCUCCUGAAAUUCUCUAGAUCUCAACUCUUGAAUAACUGUGUUCCUUUAAACAAAAUGUUAGUAGUCGAUAUUCUGUUUUCUAAAGUGGAAUAUUAGUUUCAGGGUCAACUGUUUCUGUAAUGCUCGUUACCUUCUCUGAGGCUUAAAUAAAUGUUUGCCUUGGAUAGUCAAGUACUUGAGAGAUGUUCCCACUUCUCUUUAAGGACGCGAAGUGUCCCCUCCCAGAGCAGCAUGUUGGGUCCCCACAGCAUGGCACCUGCACAGUGUCCCUGCCCAUCACCAGAUGGCAAUGCAUUGGAAAGGAGGGGUGGAAGCCAGGGUAUCCCAUUUAUACUCAAGAUAGCCACAAAAAGGGGCAUCUGGGUGACUCAGUGGUUGAGCAUCUGCCUUUGGCUCAGGUCGUGAUCUUGGAGUCCCGGGAUCGAGUCCCACAUCGGGCUCCCAGCAUGGAGCCUGCUUCUCCCUCUGCCUGUGUCUCUGCCUCUCUCUCUGUCUCUCAUGAAUAAAUAAAGUAAAUCUUUUUAAAAAAGAUAGCUACAAAAAACUGAGGAACUUAUAUAUUUCCCAGAGCUUCCAGUUAACCUGCUGGUGGGUACAAAAUAAAUAUAUAGAUUUUUUGUUAUUUCUUAUACUUACAUUGCCACCAACCACCACAGAACAGGAGCUAAUAUUUUCUGCUGAAUUAAGCACCGUGAACUCUCCCUGUAGCUUUCCGCAGCUCCAUCACACAUUUUACUUACUUCUCUAAGCUCCAUCCUCCACCCACCAUGGGGUGUUUUUAAUUCUUUUCCCGUAUAAAAUGUGCUAUCAGCAAUUCUACGGCUCCGGAAAACAGUGCCCAGGAAUUAGCAGGAUCGAAAUCUGUAAUUAGAGAAAAACACAUAUAUACUCACUUUGUACUCUGACCAACUGUUUCCCUUGACAGACACAAGCACCCCGUCACAUUUUAAGUCAAUGUCAAUUAUGAAUAAUGGAUUAUUUGCAAGAAAACAACACAAAAGUAGAUUCUGGACUUCUAUCUAGGUUAGAGUGAGUUCACAACAGAUUUUUUUUUUUUUUUAAGUAUCUUCCUUUGUUAGUGCUGUUGGUGGCAAAUGAUUUAUUGGACUAAGUAAUGCAAAAGGUAAUGAGAUUACUUGUUUUUGAAAUAUGAGUAUCCGUUCGGUCUGAGAACUCCCAGUCCACACUCCUUUAUGAAUAAUCUCAUGCAGUGUUGUGGACGGUGUGUUCUUGCACUCAUUCCAGGGAGCACCACAGCCGCCCAAUCCCAGGAGCCCCAGAGGAUGCCACAGUGAGGACAGUGGUUAUACUGAGGGAAAGAAAGAGAGACUAAAAUUGGAAGAAAGCACCCAAGAGGCUUCAACAAGGUUCCUAGUGUUUUAACUAAAUUCUACCAUGUGAAGCUGGGCAUUGGUUGCAUUAUUCCUUGUUCUGUCCCAGUGUUCUAUGGGGGUUCUUUCUGGGUAGAGCAGUGGUCCCACUUGCCAAAGGGAGGUGCUGCCGCCCAUGCACAAGCACAUCACCAGGAUGUGACAGCAGUGGAGAUGAAGUGCUCUGAGCUUUGGGUGGAAGAGGAGUUGCUUUGGGGAGAGUUUUAUGUGAGCUGCAGGCAGUAGGGCCGGCUCCUCUCAGCUCUUCUCAAGUCUGCUUCAUGUAGGCAUGACUCAGGUGAAUUUGGGGUGGAGGGCGAGGGAUGAUGGAAAUGUUGCUGGAUCCUGAUCUAGAGAGGAACAAAAGUAAGAAGAUAGCCCUGGGGCUCAGAUACGUGAGACAGUGGAGACUCCGGCUUCUAGAACUUGAUGGUAGAAGAAACCAUGCAGGCACAAACUCACUAGGAUUUUGCAAACACCUCAGGAGGGUUAGGGUUAGGGUUAGGGUUAGUCAUCCCAGAGAAGAAUUUUCAUGGCAGAGGAUGGCAUGACCGCAGGCACCAGGUGAGCUGCUCAUCUGCUAGGGUUUAAGUGUAAUGACAUUGAUCCAUGAGACUGUGAGUCUCAUGUGGGUAAGGUGGGUAGGGUGAUGCCUGUGUUUCUACUGUUAGAUCUCCAGCUCCCAGCAUGUUCUCUGGUUGGAGGCACAUAGGAAGGAGUGAAGUUCCAGGACCAUCCAGGGGGACUAGAACCACAAAAGGCCUGUCAAGUGGAAAAUAGAGCUUGGGGUCAGAAUCAGCCACUUGCUGAAAACCAGACCUGGCGAAGAGAGCAAAGCGGGACAUACCUCGACUCUUUCUCCCCUCUCUCAGUCUAUCCUCUGUCCAUCAGUGCCUCCCAGGGGCUAACCCAAGUCUUUAUUGAGAUGUGAUACACACAUCAUGAAAUCCACCUCUUUAAAAUAUACAACUCUGAGAGGCAAUCCAAGAAACAGACUCUUAUUUCUGGAGAAUGCACUGAUGGUCACCAGAGGCGAGAAGGGGUGGAGGGAGGGGGGCAGUGGGUGAUGGAGAUGAAGGAGGGCAUCUGUCGUGAUGAGCACUGGGUGAUGUGUGGAAGUACUGAGUCACUAUAUUGUACACCUGACACUGGUAUAGCACUGUAUGUUAACUACACUGGAAUUAAAAUCUUAUUAAAAAUAAAAUACACAACUCAAUUCAAUGGCUCUUAGUAUAUUCACAGAGUUGGGCAACCAUCACCAAAACCUAAUUUUAAAACUCUUUCAUCGGUCUGGAAAGAGACUGUGUACCCAUUUGUGGUCCUCUCCACCCGCCCCUGCCCCAAACCCUGGGCAACCACCCAUCUACCAUUUCUAUGGAUUUUGACCUUUCGAGAUGUCUCAUAAAGUGGGAAUACGAGAUAAUGUUGUCUUUUGUGCCUGGCUCAUUCCAUGUGGUGUGUCUUCAUGGUAUAUCCUUCUAAUGGCUGAGUAAUAUUCUAUGGCAUGAAUACACCACAUUUUGCUUACCCAUUCAUCAGUUCAUGAACAUUUGGUUUGUGUCUAGUCAAAUACAAGUUUAAGUUUCUAAUUCUCUGCAAUCCAUGUUAACAAUAUGGCAGGAAAUGGAAUGUGAUAGAUACAGCAUCUUCAAUAAAAGAUCUAAAAA
rnacentral:lncRNA from 1 species